AGCGAAUUGGUGUAAAGGAAGCACAAGAGGCUCAUGAUCUCAAAGAGAUUGUUCAAUUCAAUCAUUCGCAA
rnacentral:tRNA from 1 species